rnacentral:tRNA from 1 species
UUAUCUAUGGCAGAAUAUAUGCAUUUGAGUUAGGAUCAAUUUAUACCAAAUUUAGGUUAGAUAUA